UACGAAGGGAGCUAGCGUUGUUCGGAAUCACUGGGCGUAAAGCGCACGUAGGCGGAUGUGUCAGUCAGGGGUGAAAUCCCGGAGCUCAACUUCGGAACUGCCCUUGAUACAGCACGUCUCGAGUCCGAGAGAGGUGGAUGGAAUUCCUAGUGUAGAGGUGAAAUUCGUAGAUAUUAGGAAGAACACCGGUGGCGAAGGCGGUCCACUGGCUCGGUACUGACGCUGAGGUGCGAAAGCGUGGGGAG
rnacentral:rRNA from 1 species